rnacentral:misc_RNA from 1 species
GUGUCCGAGUUGUAAUUUGUAGAAGUAACUUUGGGUUUAGUCUCCGCAUAAGUUCCUUAGAACAGGACGUCAUAGAGGGUGAUAACCCCGUUUAUGGUGGAGAUACUAGAUCUAUGUAAAGUGCUUUCAAAGAGUCGAGUUGUUUGGGAAUGCAGCUCUAAGAGGGUGGUAAAUUCCAUCUAAAGCUAAAUAUUGGCGAGAGACCGAUAGCGAACAAGUACUGUGAAGGAAAGAUGAAAAGAACUUUGAAAAGAGAGUGAAAAAGUACGUGAAAUUGUUGAAAGGGAAGGGCUUGAAAUCAGACAUGGUAUUUAAUGAUCAAUUGCUUUUUGGAGUAAUGCACUCGUUAUUUACUGGGCCAACAUCGGUUUGAACGGUAGGAUAAUGACAUUGGAAUGUAGCUUGCAUUUAUGUAAGUGUUAUAGACUUUGUUGAUACUGCCAGUUUGGAUCGAGGACAGCGUCUUUUAUGACUAGGAUGUUGGCGUAAUGGUUUUAAGCCGCCCGUCUUGAAACACGGACCAAGGAGUCUAAUGUCUAUGCGAGUGUUUGGGUGUAAAACCCGUACGCGUAAUGAAAGUGAACGUAGGUUAGAGCUCUUUAUGAGUGCAUAAUCGACCGAUCCAGAAGUUUUACGGAUGGAUUUGAGUAAGAGCAUAGAUGUUGGGACCCGAAAGAUGGUGAACUAUGCCUGAAUAGGGUGAAGCCAGAGGAAACUCUGGUGGAGGCUCGUAGCGGUUCUGACGUGCAAAUCGAUCGUCAAAUUUGGGUAUAGGGGCGAAAGACUAAUC